GCUUGUCUCAAAGCUUAAGCCAUGCAAGUGUAAGUUCACGCCACGCAUUAGAACGGGCGAAACCGCGAAUGGCUCAGGAACCGGACCUAAUCCUCGGGACCGUAAUCCUCCUCGGAGGCGAUGGAUAACUGUGGCAAUUCUAGAGCUAAUACAUGUGACACAGGCCGCGAUCGGCCGUCGCGCCGUGGUCGCCUCACCUUGCGCGCUGGCACCCGCGGCGGCCGUCUUGGGUCGCGGCGCUACAUAUUAGACUGAGACCGAUGCGCGAUUCCCGCCCUCCCGUCCACGCUGCAGCCCUCGCGGGUUGUCGUCGUGUGGCGGGGCCAAAGGACGGCGCGCUCCGCUUUGGUGACUCUGGAUAACUCACUGGUCGAUCGCACGGGCUUCCACGCCCGGCGACGGGUCCCUCGAGGGUCCGCCCUAUCAACUGUCGACGGUCGGUUAAGUGCCUACCGUGGUUACUACGGGUAACGGGGAAUCGGGGUUCGAUUCCGGAGAGGGAGCAUGCGAAACGGCUACCACAUCCAAGGAAGGCAGCAGGCGCGCAAAUUACCCACUCCCGGCACGGGGAGGUAGUGACGAAAAAUAACGACGCGGGACUCUGUCGAGGCCCCGCGAUCGGAAUGAGUACACUUCAAAUCCGUUAACGAGGACCAACCGGAGGGCAAGUCUGGUGCCAGCAGCCGCGGUAAUUCCAGCUCCGGUAGCGUAUAUUAAAGUUGUUGCGGUUAAAAAGCUCGUAGUCCGAACUCGGGUUCGUGGUCGCUCACGCGGCCCCGGGGCGGCGGCGCCAUCGUCCAUCGUUGACUUUGGUCGUCCGUUCGCAUUCCCGGCCCUUUCCGCCGGUGUCGAUCGCUAUAUAGACGGCCGCGGGUCAGCUGGCGCGAGGUGYGACUCUGCGUUCGGGUUCGUGGUCUGUGUCGUUCGUGUCUCGUUGUCUUYCUUCYYCYUYCUCUUCUCUUCCUCUCUUCUUCUCCGCUUYUUYGGGUCGKGGCUCCUCSSGGGUCGNUUUUCGUCCCGGGGGAGGAAUCUGUGGGUUGAGCUAGGGUGGGGGCGGGCGGCUCGGGACGUUCGUUCGGCGUCUCUCCUCGUCCCUUUCGUGGGAUCCGGGCUCUCGGGCCCCCUCGCGUUCACGCCCUCGUGUCGCCGUCGGCGAUUUCUCCUCCAAGGGUGCUCUUAACCGAGUGUCCGCGGCGGCCGGUACGUUCACUUUGAAAAAAUUAGAGUGCUCAGAGCGGGCUGUUCAAGCUUGCAUACGAUAAGCAUGGAAUGAUGGAAGAGGGCCUCGUCUACGUCUGUCGGUCUCCGUCUACGGCGAGGCAAUGAUCGAAGGGAGCGGUCGGGGCCACUCGUAUUGCGACGUUAGAGGUGAAAUUCUUGGAUCGUCGCAAGACGAACUGCAGCGAUGGCGUGUGGCAAGCACGUUUUCCUCGAUCAAGAGCGAAAGUCGGAGGUUCGAAGACGAUCAGAUACCGUCGUAGUUCCGACCGUAAACGAUGCCGACCGGCGAUCCGCCGGCGUUCGCUUCCAUGACCCGGCGGGUAGCCUGCGGGAAACCAGAGUUSGGUUCCGGGGGGAGUAUGGUUGCAAAGCUGAAACUUAAAGGAAUUGACGGAAGGGCACCACCAGGAGUGGAGCCUGCGGCUUAAUUUGACUCAACACGGGAAAACUCACCCGGUCCGGACACCGGUAGGAUUGACAGAUCGAUAGCUCUUUCUCGAUUCGGUGGGUGGUGGUGCAUGGCCGUUCUUAGUUGGUGGAGCGAUCCGUCUGGUUGAUUCCGAUAACGAACGAGACUCCGGCCUGCUAACUAGUGCGCCGAUGUCAGUGCGGCGUCAUCCCGACGUCGUGUGCGGGCUCGUGGGCGAUUAUUUUUUAAUCGUCUCUUGCGUGUCCGGGUCGGUUUCUCACGCACUUCUUAGAGGGACGGGUGGCAGAAAGCCACACGAGGCGGAGCRAUAACAGGUCUGUGAUGCCCUUAGAUGUCCGGGGCCGCACGCGCGCUACACUGGAGGUAUCAGCGGGGACUUCGCCCCGGCCCGAGAGGGUCGGGAAACCUCUCAACCACCUCCCGUGAUAGGGAUCGGGGCCUGUAACCAACCCCGUGAACGAGGAAUUCCCGGUAGGCGCGGGUCAACAGCCCGCGUCGAUCACGUCCCUGCCCUUUGUACACACCGCCCGUCGCUACUACCGAUCGAACGGUCCGGUGAGGUCCUCGGAUCUGGCCGACGACGCCCAUCGGUGGGUCUCCUUUCGGGGUUUCUCGCCUCGGCGUUCGAUGCCUGGAGAAGACGACCGAACCCGAUCGUUUAGAGGAAGUAAAAGUCGUAACAAGGUUUCC
rnacentral:rRNA from 1 species